rnacentral:rRNA from 1 species
ACCCGCUGAACUUAAGCAUAUCAAUAAGCGGAGGAAAAGAAACUAACAAGGAUUCCCCUAGUAACUGCGAGUGAAGCGGGAAAAGCUCAAAUUUAAAAUCUGGUGGCCUUUGGUCAUCCGAGUUGUAAUUUAGAGAAGCGUCUUCCGCGCUGAACCGUGCACAAGUCUCCUGGAAUGGAGCGUCAUAGAGGGUGAGAAUCCCGUCUUUGGCACGGAACAUCAGGGCUUCUGUGAUGCGCUCUCGACGAGUCGAGUUGUUUGGGAAUGCAGCUCAAAAUGGGUGGUGAACUCCAUCUAAAGCUAAAUAUUGGCGAGAGACCGAUAGCGAACAAGUACCGUGAGGGAAAGAUGAAAAGCACUUUGGAAAGAGAGUGAAACAGUACGUGAAAUUGUUGAAAGGGAAACGCUUGAAGUCAGUCGCGUCGACCGAGACUCAGCCUUGCCCUUGGCUUGGUGUACUUCUCGGCUGACGGGUCAGCAUCAAUUUUGAUCCUCGGAUAAUGGCAAGGGAAAGGUAGCACCUUUUUAGGUGUGUUAUAGUCCUUUGUCGCAUACGGGGGUUGGGAUUGA